GUAGGGAAUCUUCCACAAUGGAACGAAAGUCUGAUGGAGCAACGCCGCGUGAGUGAAGAAGGGUUUCGGCUCGUAAAACUCUGUUGUUAAAGAAGAACAUAUCUGAGAGUAACUGUUCAGGUAUUGACGGUAUUUAACCAGAAAGCCACGGCUAACUACGUGCCAA
rnacentral:rRNA from 1 species